rnacentral:lncRNA from 1 species
AACCAUCACACUCAGCUUCAAUUACAAAUCAGGAUGCAAUAAACACCUCUGGAUAAUCUUGCUUCCGCAAUCUGAUGCGCAGAGGCGCUGAGGGGUGGGGCGUCCAGGGCUCUGUAGGUAAACCUCCCACGCAUCCGUGAGGAAGGAGAAGGGCUACUUGCUGUGGGAGCGCCUGUGGAUACAGUCGUGGUGUAUUUUCCGUGGGGUGGCUUCGUUGUGAGUAGGGGCUUAGAUUUGGGCUAGAAUCACCGGUGAAGAAAAGAUACAAGCUCUGCCAGAGAACGUUGAGUCCACUCAAAGGGGUCUCCUAAGGGAGGUUCAGGAGGGUCUGCGUGGAGGCAGUGCGGGGCGAGCAGGCGGGGACAUGCCUCCUAGGUCUUGGAGUCAGUAGCAGAGGCUCGCUCCCGCACCACAGCGUCGGGUGGACUCAGGCUAGGCGCUCGCUCGCCUCAUUCGCCCACCUUGCAGUUCGGCCUACGACGCACGGCUGCGCCAGAAGGUGGCUGUGAAGAAGCUGUCUCGCCCUUUCCAAUCGCUGAUCCACGCGAGGAGGACAUACCGUGAGCUACGCCUACUCAAACACCUGAAGCACGAGAACGUGAGAGGGUGGCCCGGUGGUGUUGGGACUGAACGACGGACGCCUCUUGGUGGGGGCGGGAGCUAGGAUAUGGGGCGGGGCCUUUGGGGGUACGGCCCCAUAUGGGUGGGGUCCAGGCCAGGGGGGCGUUGCCUACAGCUGAGCUGUUGUCCCGCCUCGGUUCCCUGACCAGGUCAUAGGACUUUUGGACGUCUUCACGCCGGCCACAUCCAUCGAGGAUUUCAGCGAAGUGUACCUCGUGACCACCCUGAUGGGCGCUGACCUGAAUAACAUCGUCAAGUGUCAGGCCCUGAGCGAUGAGCAUGUUCAGUUCCUUGUCUACCAGCUGCUGCGUGGGCUGAAGGCUCAUGGCCGUACCACACUCAUGCCCUGUGCACCCUGCAGGACCUGAAGCCCAGCAAUGUAGCAGUGAAUGAGGACUGCGAGCUGAGG